AAUAAAUCAUUGAAUAGAAGUAGUAGGUUAUUAUUUUAUUUAUAGAGAACUAGUGUUUGGUGGAAACUAGUAAUAAUUAAAUAACUGAAUGGAUCUAUGAGAGGAUACCUGAAUUAUAGUAGGGUGUCACGGGAGCUCCCGUUAUAGAGCUAGAGUAUGAUAGUACUUAAAUAAGGGUUCUUUAUAGAACUAAAUAUGAGGUGGCACCACGUUUAUAACGUCCUCUAC
rnacentral:ncRNA from 1 species